UAACACCAUUUGACAAUAUCGACUAAUGUGGUCGUCAAGUCUUAUGUUAACAGGACUAAUUAGCAAAUCGGAUAGUUGCGUCAUCAUUGAUGGUGUGAUAAUAAAAGCGAGGCAUAAAUCGGGUCUAUUCGUUGAUCCGAGCCAGGUGUAUGCUGAGAGCCCGGAUGAAGAUCAAGCGUCAAGCUCGAUGAGGAACCGAACACAUGUUUAAUAAAGCUUCCGCAACGUUGUUGUGUCGUUAUUCUAAACGGCGAAUUAAAUCACAUUAUGUAUAUCGCUUAAAUUAUAAAAGUUUUUAACAAGCCCGUAUUUUCAUUAUAAUUGUGAUUGUAAUU